GACCUCGUUCUCUUCGGAGGUUCGGGCGCUCCCCGACCUCGUUCUCUUCGGAGGUUCGGGCGAGCGCUGAGCUUGUCUCAGGCUCUGGGAUCCUCCUUGGGGCGUAUCUGGAGGAGGGCCCCUGAUUCCAGAUGUUUGUGUCCGCAAGUUAAGCAAAAUGUGAAGGCACCCGAGUGGAACUAUCUCCAUGCAUCGUUGCAGCUUGAGGAUAACAUCCUAUCCCCCAAAUCACCAAGUCAAUCUGGACUGCAAUUCAAAUCAAAGGGCUACGAAGGUGGCCUCCUCACUCAUUUUGCAACGGGAACAAGCUUUCACAUGGUCCAAUUCAAGAGGAGUCAUCAGAGGAAGAACUUAGCUCAGGCUCUUUAAAAUGAAAGGCUUACUUCAGACACCCACGCCGAGGACCCUACACAGGACUCAGCAAAGCUGGAUGAAGGUGGCAAGUUUCCUAUUUCAAAUCAGCGCAAAAGAGGAGGCUGACUCCUGCCCAGAUACAUAAUCCCUCCGGACCUUCUUUGGCCUCGGUCCUACUGCUUUUUGCUGGAGGCAGCCCCGUGUGGCUCGGAGGACUUGAAAUGUGGGCUGCACCAGACUGAGACGUGCGGGAAAUGCAGAAUCCAUAACACACUGGAUUCCAAACACUUAGCGUAAAAACAGAACGAAAAAGGCAAUUUAACAUCGUAUCAACGGCUCACGUUUGCAGCUCGUAUAUUUCUUUGGGACAGAUCACCUUGUAGGAUGUGGGAAAAGCAAAGGUAGAGAUUUGGGGGGGGAUGGUGUGGACAGGAAGUCCGUGUGGACAACCAGGCCAUUUUUGACAACAGAGAACAAACAACUAAGGGCUUAUGGAGUGGGGAAUGGCAACCCCAAGAGACAAAGCUCAGAAGGAAGGACCAAGAGGGAGAACCUGCAGUUCAACCAAGUGGACUCAUCAGCCUGCGGCAGAUGUUGGUCUAGAAUGAAGAAACUGCUAUCCAUGUGUCCAUUUGUUCAUUCACUCACUUAACAAGCAGUACGCACAGGAGUCUACUCUGCCAAAUGUCACUGAGAAGCACCUGAUGGGGUGUCAGAGACAGCAAGGUGGCCACUGGCUGAUAGCUUAGGGGGUUGAACAUGGGGAAGAAGUCAUCUUAGAUGCGUAUGGUGACCACAGACCCUUGUUAAACUUCUUCCUUUAAUUCCACUGCGGUCUUUGGUUGAGGCCUGGCAGCUAAGGCAGUGAUCUUGGGCUCUUUUCCUGGAGUAGCUUCUGGACUUAGAAGGGGCCUCUUGGCUAUGUCAAGGGAAAACCCCCUUACAGACAGGGGUCUGCAGGGUGGUCCCACCAGCCCCAAGGCUCAGUGCUCUGGCAGCUGGUUUCAUCUCUCAGAACCACAACUUUAGGCCUGAAAGGGAAUUCUGAGCUCAUCCAGCAUUGUGAGUGGGAUGCAGAAGCAGGAACCCUUAGGGGUCAAGGGCCUCCAUAAUGAACAACUGCCUACCCACCCAUAGUGCCCAUGUGGGAUGUCCCCCUUCGUUCACCGCAAUGCCCCACAAACGCGUAGGGUUUCUGUCCAGUUAUGUUAUGUCAUUGUAGAUGGAAGACUGCUCCUGUGCUUUGGCCACCCCCCACCCCCAUCAUUUAUCUCCAGGGAGCAUUCGGCAUUGGCCCCUUGGCCCUUGGAAGCCCAGGGCCUCAGGAGCUACGGGGUCUCUGUGGCUGUCCCUGCUGGGGGCCUCCCCUGCUGAACCCUGUUACCCACAUUCUCCUGCCUCGGUCACUAGGGUCCUUAAUGCCUAAAGAGCUUCUGUGGUGGGAAAGAACCCCCGUUUGUGUUUGUAUGGUUGACCCUUGACCAACACGGGUUGGGGCCCCAACCCCUUGUGAUGUCAAAAAUCUGCAUAUGACUUUGAAUUCCCCCAAAACUUAACUACUAAGAGCCUACUGUUGGCUAGAAGCCUUUCUGAUAACAUAAACAGUCAAUUACCACAUAUUGUGUGUUAUACGUAUUAUAUACUGCAUUCUUAGAAUAGAGUCAGCUAGAGAAAAGAAAAUGGUUAAGAAAAUCAUAAGGAAAAGAAAAUACAUUUACUCUACUGUAUUUACUGAAAAAAAUCAAUGUCUAAGUGGACCCGCGCAGUCAAACCCACGUCGUUCAAGGGUCAAUUGUAUUUAUUUUUAAAAGUUCAAUUUACUAAACUUGAAAGUGGACGAAGCACAUUCAGCUGGGGAAGAGGAGAAAAUUCUGGAAACGGAUGGUGGUGAGGUACAAUGUGAAUGACUUAAUGCCACUGAAAUGUACACUUAAAAACAGUUAAGAUGGCAAAAUGAUGAUAGGGAUAUUUUGCCGCAACAAAAAAAGCUGAUUAAACACAAAUUUUCAGGACCAACUAUUUUCACAAUUACCACAAUCUAUGAACUUGAGAACCCAAAGUCUCUUAAGGAUUCUAUUAAGUCACAAGUCUUUACAGGCUUCAGAUACUUGCAAAGCAUCCACAGAUCCUAACACUAAGAGCAAAAUGGGGUUUGCUUACUCGGGACCCAAUACAUCAUUUGUGAGGCCUACUACAAAGUGAACACGUGAGGUCCUUGUUCCAAAUGCAGGAAAAAUGUGCUAUUAAGGGUACUAACAUAUAAUGUGCUUUCCUUGCUUCUGCAAUCUCUCUCUCCAGCUGUCUUGGAGCUUUUAUCUGCUAUUUCAUGCCCUUCUCCCUUGGGCAGAGACCUGAGGAAGGGAUGCCCAUGGGCGAGGGCUGACCCUCACACAGACCUGGGUCACCACCACUCAACUCGUCAUGCAUAUACUUUACCAGCUGCACAGUCCUGACCAGUGUGCCAUGCCCCAGCUGGGGACAAGUUGAGCCAGGCACCUCCCCGUCCCACGGGUCCUCUACAGCAACCCACAGCUGUCAAGCAACCCCAAGGGGUCACAUCCUCUAUACCAGGACUUUGGGUAUCUGGACCAGGAUAGGCAAGAGGCUUGUCCAAAUGCCCUGGGGCACUGCCAGCCCUGGGUGGAGACAGAUGCCACCAUGUCCCACCCUGCACUUGUCCCCGACCACCACCCUGCCCAUGACCAUACCCCUGUAUCGGUGAUGGGCAGCAGUGAUCACUGAGUUGGGGCAGGGAAGGGAAGGCUAGGUGGGUGGGCCUGGGGCUUCCAGGGGCUGGGGAGCUGACAGCUAAGAACAGCAGCUUCUGACGCAGACUCACAUCUGACAUGGAGCAAAAAACCUCCAGGCAACUCAGAGCAGAGAAGUCGGUCCUCUCCCGAGGAAGCUGCCAGGGAGUGGAUGCGUGCAUGUCAGGAGCUCAGAAGGAAGCCAGGCAGGCGGGCACAUGGAGGAAGGGAGACACCCCCCAUCCCCCCCAGACAGCCCAGCCCCGCACGCCCUUGAAUUAAAUGCCUGAAGUGACAGAAAAGUCACUGGGUUGAGAUAAGAGAAACUAGGAGCAUCUCUAUAAAGCUGUUUGCCAACAGGCAGCCUGGGGCCGCGGAGAAAGAAAAGUAAAUUGAAUUAUUGAAACCAAAAGCGGUGUAAAGGCACAUUUCUGAAUUUCAUGGAUACGGUGACUCUGAAAUUUAAAUAAGUGACAUCGGCGAUGCUCCUUAAUCAACCUGGGCUAAACAAGGGGACAAAGAAAACAAAGAAUAAGAAUGAGAGCAAAAAAAUAAGGGGGCAAAUGGCUAGGAAAAACAGCUCAACUGCCAGGGGUGGAGAACGCUUCCAAAUGCUGAGCUCCCGCUACUAUGGGGUUGUCCCAGGAAGGGUGUCCCAGGAAUGCACAUCCCCUGCAGGCUUCUGGGGUGCCGGCCCUGGCCACAGCCUCGCUUCCUGUCCACACCUGGAAAGCACAGCUGAUGCCCACAUGGGGCUCACGUGAGGGUCAGGAGGAGAAGACUUAACCUGUAGUGUAUCCGAGCCCACAAAACUCAUGAUGCACUUCAACAUCUAGCGCAAAUAACUCUGCAACAGGAAACCCCAUAAAACGAGCACAUUCUCUGCUCUUCUGCAUAAAAACAGUGCCUGGGAGACAUCUGUGCUAUCAUCUUUGUGGGGAAUUACAAUACACAUAAAACCGUUUAUAGAAGCCUUUUCCUCUUUGAAUAAAGUGUUCAAAAUAAGGGAAGCUAGGUACAAAGAAGGAAGGCUAUGUUUUUUAGAGAGCCUCCUUGGCUUCACCACCGGAAUCUGCCCCCACCUCUCGGAAGCUUUAUAUUCUUGCCUUUCUGCGGGGAGGGCUGAGCUCCAGGCGAAAGCAGCUCCUGAGCGGUUCGCUUCCCUCCGCGGCCCCCAGAGCAUCCGCCGCCUGGCUGGGCUUCUCAUGCCGGGGAAACCCAGGCUGGCUCAUUCAAAGUGAGGUCUUAUGGGUUUUCUUUAUUUUGAAUUUUUAAAAUUGUGAGGAAAGGAACAGAACAUCAAAUUUACCGUAGCAACCAUUUUUAAGGGUACGGUUCAGUGGCAUGAAAUACAUCUGCACUGGCAUGAAGCUGUCCAUCACCACCAUCCAUCUCCGGAACUUUUUCAUCUCCCCGCCCAACUGAAACUCUGUCCCCAUUAAACACUAAUUUCCGGGGCGCCUGGGUGGCUCAGUUGGUUAAGCGACUGCCUUCGGCUCAGGACAUGAUCCUGGAGUCCCUGGAUCGAGUCCCACAUCAGGCUCCCUGCUCGGCGGGGAGUCUGCUUCUCCCUCUGAUCCUCCCCCUCUCAUGUGCUCUCUCUCUCUCUCAUUCUCUCUCUC